GACGGAGGAUGCAAGUGUUAUCCGGAAUCACUGGGCGUAAAGCGUCUGUAGGUGGUCAAAUAAGUCAACUGUUAAAUCUUGAGGCUCAACCUCAAAAUCGCAGUCGAAACUAUUAGACUAGAGUAUAGUAGGGGUAAAGGGAAUUUCCAGUGGAGCGGUGAAAUGCGUAGAUAUUGGAAAGAACACCGAUGGCGAAGGCACUUUACUGGGCUAUUACUAACACUCAGAGACGAAAGCUAGGGUAGCAAACAGG
rnacentral:rRNA from 1 species